rnacentral:rRNA from 1 species
GACGACGAGGUUGAUAGGUUCGAGGUGGAAGUGCGGUAACGUAUGCAGCUGACGAAUACUAAUCGGUCGAGGGCUUAACCAUAUA